ensembl:lncRNA
AAGCUCUCUAUCUACCGGUCAAUCUUCGUUCCUACCCUCACCUAUGGUCAUGAAGGAUGGGUCAUGACCAAAAGAACUAGGUCACGGGUACAAGUGGCCGAAAUGGGUUUCCUCAGGAGAGUGGCUGGCGUCUCCCUUAGGGAUAGGGUGAGAAGCUCAGCCAUUCGCGAGGAGCUCGGAGUAGAGCCGCUGCUCCUUUGUGUCGAAAAGAGCCAGUUGAGGUGGUUUGGGGAUCUGGUGAGGAUGCCCCCUUGGCGCCUCCCUAGGGAGGUGUUCCAGGCACGGCCAGCUUGGAAGAGGCCCCGGGGAAGACCCAGAACUAGGUGGAGAGAUUAUGUCUCUGCACUGGCCUGGGAACGCCUUGGGAUCCCCCAGUCAGAGCUGGUAGAUGUGGCCCGGGAAAGGGAAGUUUGGGGUCCCCUGUUGGAGGUGUUGCUCCCUCGACCCGACCCCCGGAUAAGCGGUUGAAAAUGGAUGGAUGGAUGGUUCCCGCGCACUUGCCUCGAAAGCGGCUGCACAUUAACACCAAAAUGAUUUGUCCAGCUCGCUGAGCGGUCUGUUUUGGUGAAAUUGUUGUUAAUAACGGUUGUAGUUGGUUGUCAACAUCACUACGGUUAUAGAGAGAUGUCGUUUGUGUUUUAACAACGUUUCGCUGACGUGCUAUUGAACUGUGAAGUCUGAAUCUGUGAAUAUCUUGCUAACUUUACCGAACUGGGCAGCAGCAUCAUAUUGUGGCAGCACAGCACUCACACAGCGAUGGUCUUCAUGGCACGCUGCUCUCCUCCACAACGUGACAAGAGUCACGCGUGGUCCUGUUGAAAAGAGAAGUGCUGCCAGUGGGCGGGAAGGCGCACACAACCCACAAAUGACACGCGUAACUUCUGCGACAUCACCGUCUACGCUCAUCGGCAUUUCGGCCAUUUUUUAUAACAGUCUGUAUUGUCGUAGUCGGACUACAAAGGAGUACCAGACGAUGACAGCUGUCUGGAGGGGCGGGGUUAGCUCAGCUGCAUGGGGGAGAGCGGGGGAGUGGUUCAGCGGACGGUGCUGGUAGUUGAGGAGAAAGCAGGUGGAAAUAAUCUGCACUGAUUGUCUCUGGUAAAAACAGUGAGCAGGAUCCAGAUCGGGGAACGUGAGCCGAGCAGAGCUGAGCACGAGAGUGGAGCACGAGAGCGGAGCUGUGCUGUGCUGUGCUGUGCAGAGCUGAGCAGAGCAGGACAGAGCGGAGCCGGGCAACAGCACGACGAGCGGCCUCAUUCCUGCUCACUGACCCCUUGAAAAAUAAAGACUUAUUGCUCUCAACGUGUGUCCGUGCGUCCUUACGGAACCCGCCGGUGGUAGCGCUAUCACGGCCACAACAGCCUCCUGCUGAGAAAGUGUUUUAAUGAAAACUCUUUACAGAAAACAGAUUUAGAAUAAGCCAGCAACACAGCGUUUUCAUUGGAUCAAUUCUCCGUCCCUAAAAUGAGUCCAUUAAAGAGAUUUGCAUCGCGUAUUUGCUGCUGCUCGAUACUUUUGAAGUCAUUGAACGUUCUGCGUUCUCGCAUCAAAGAGUCUAUAGGCUGCUUAAUACUAACAAACUAACAACAUGGAUGCAUGAUCAAACUAACGUAGAACAGAUAUGACAUCUAGUGUGAGCGUUGGGAAGCAUCUCUUGAACAUAAUAAUAUAUUUAUGUAUUUUAUCCAUAUUGAUUCUAAAAAUCUAUAAAACUAUAGAACUCUAAAAGUUUGCGCCCUGAUGGAUUUCAAUGGUCCAUUUUGAAAUAGAUGAUUCCCUGUAAGCCUGAUUAUUCUAAGGAAAGGUACCGUUGGACAAACACAGGAGGGGAAGGAAUGGGGGAGGUCCUGUUAUCAAAUCGUUGUGUCCUAGUGUUUGAGGGCUUUUCUUUAUGAAACCUGUUAGGGGUUUAAGUGCACACCUAGUGGUAGAAAUUAUAAUACAUGUAGUAAUGCUUAGUGUUAGAAUUGUAGUUUGUGUGAUGUUAGAUAUUAGUUAUUACAUUUAUAUAAUUACUGUACACAUUAACAUUCUGUCAUGAUGUAAUAUUAAAACCUGGGGACGAAUGCUAAUUGCUGUCCUUCAUGGAUUUCUCCUAAUUUUCUCCCCAAAGAGGAGUUUUUGGGGAGUUUUUUUUCCGUCACACCGUACCAAACUUGAUGGGUUUGUUUUAUUUUGUCUGUGUCUUGUCAUUUCCUUUUUUAUUUUUGUUUCAGGUAACUUACCCUGCCUCAUGUGUCACCAGUCUGAUUUUCUUCCCUGAUUCCCGAUUGUGUCCACCUGUUCCCCAUUCCCUUCCAUGUGUACUAAUAGUCUGCAUCUCCCUUUGUCCUGUGCCAGUGUGUUCGUUUCCGUCCUUGGGUUCAUGCAUCCGCUCCAGCCUCGCCAUAGUUUUUCAAGCCUCGAGAACCAUGCCAUUGUGUUCUGCUCCAUUGUUUUUCCUCCAAGAGAGUGAUUUUGAUUUUGUGAAGUUUUGUACCAUAGGUUUUGUUUAAUGGUUAAUGUUUGCAUAGUCCUUUGUUUCCUCCGUAAGGAGUGAAUUUUGUUUUAAUAGUCUUUUAUAGUGUCUCCAGUUUUAAGGAGUGUUUUUUGUUAAGUGAUGUUGCCUCCGUCGAAAGAGUGCUUACCCGGUAUUUUGAUAAAGUUAAAGGCCUUUUUAUAGACACACUUCCUAAAUGAUUCAGUGGGACAAGUGUGAUCUAGAUCAUUUGCAUAGCUUGUAUUUAUUUUCCCUGCCUUGGAGAGAUCCAGUCUUACUAAUAAAGACUACAAAUCCCAUAAAACCCUGCAACUAUGUCCAGUGUUCUGCCGGGUCGUGACAUUUUUGCCUGUCAAGUAGUGAAUAAGCAAAGGAUGUACCACAGCCCUGACAUUCUGAUUU